ensembl:lncRNA novel transcript
GGGUGGGGUCUGCCGCGGCGCGGGGGCAGCCUCACCCCACCUCACUGCUGGACUCCGGAGAACCAUUUCUGGGACCGGGAGCUGUCCAGCGCCUCGGGUCCUGACGGACCGCUGAUUCGCCUAGGUGCCAUCGGACAAGCGGGUGCUCAGAGCCAGCUCUGGUGGCUCGGGAGCUUUCCCCCAACCAGGCUAAGACCACUAAACCACGCCUGGCCCGGAUGAGCUUGGAUGCAGCUCCGAACGUGGGGAUCCAUCGGUGCUGAGAACUGACCUAGGGAGCACCUUGACCCCUGCCCUAUCUGGGCACAAUUGAAGGGCCAAGUGCCACCAGCCCACUUUCCUGGAACCCUGUCUCAGACUUGGGCAGGAAGAAGAGCCAUGAGAGCUCUCAUCAGAAGCAGAGGCUGGGAUUAUCUGCCUAGGGCUGAGUCCCUUCAUAUUAACAACAGACUGAAGAUGUACUGACUGCAACGAGACAAAUAGAAAUAAUAUGGUCACAUUCACCUCCAUUUCAUAAAGCAAGUGGAACCUGGGCUCACUGCGAUGAAUGAGCUUCAAUAAUUCAUCCCAGCUGCUGCCUUCAAUGCAAUGAGAGAGAAUAACAUUAAGGAAUAGCUUUGGAAUGGGAAGAACUCUCUGAACCCUGAAGGAUGAGAAGUCUGGAAAAGAGAGUGGGAAGAGUAGACCAGAAGGAGGAAAAGCCACAUAUUUAAGGUUUUGCUUCUUGCUGCAAGCAGAUUCCUUGGCUUUACCUUCAGAGCUUUUGACUCAAUGCAGAAAUGGAAAAGCCAAUCCUUAAAUUCAAAUGGAAUUGCAGCGGACCCCAAAUAGCCAAAGCAAUCUUGAAAAAGAAGAACAAAGCUGGAAGACUUACACUUCCUGAUUUCAAAACGUAUUACAAAGCUACAGUAAUCAAAAUAGUGUGAUAGUAGCAUAAAGGAUAGAGAGAUAUAUAUCAACGAAAUAGAAUUGAGAGUCCAAAAAUAUACUAAUACAGCUAUGGGGUCAAUUGAUUUUUGACAAGGGUGCCAAGAGCAUUCAAUGGGCAAAAAAUAGUGUCUUCAACAAAUAGUGCUGGGACAACUGGAUAUCCACAUACAAAAAAGGAAGAAGAAGGAGAAGGAGGAGAAGAAGAAGAGGAAGGAAGAGGAGGAGGAGGAAGAGAAAGAAGGAGGAAGAAGAAGGAAGAAGAAGGAGAAAGAAAGAAGAACAAAGAAGAAAGUUGGACCCCUUACCUCGUACCAUAUACAAAUAUUAACUCACUAAGGAGCUUCUGGAUAGCUGAACACAUGAAGAUACUUGGAGGGAAGGUGGCAUGCCUAGAGAUGUAUGAAAGCUCUAUGCCCCUUCCCACAUGGCUUGACCUAUCCAUCUCUCCAUCUGGCUGUUCAUCUUUAAAAUACCCCUUAUGAUAAAUGGGUAAAUGCUACAUGUUCACUUGGCAUCCUAGGUCAGGCAUUUGGUCUCCACCAGAGCCCAGGAACAAGCCCAGGAGCUGUAUAUUUUAUUUUUUCAAAGUGUGAAUGAGUUAUUUGUGUAAAAAGACAUAGCUGCAAUACAAAACUCUAGGAGUCUACGUCAUGAUUCCUCUAUCAGGGAUUCCCAGAUGGUUCACCAGCAUUCCUAUCUGCAAUAGACAUUUGGAGCACUGUUGAAUCUGCUGGGUCAUAAGGCCCAAGCAGGAAAGCAGCUUAUAUCAUACCUGCAAUAGCUUCAGAAACUUUUCUUGCUCUGGUCCUGUAUUAGCUUUCUAUUGCUAUGUAACAAAUUACCACAAACUUAGUGGCCUAAAACAAAAACAAAAAACAAACAAAAAUUUUGAACUCAUUAUGUAUCAAAUACCUAAAUGUAAGAGCAAAAAGUGUAAAACCUUUAGGAGAAAACAUAAGGGUAAAUAUUCAUGACUUUGGAUUUGGCAAUGGUUUCUUUUUUUUUUUUUUUUUUUUUUGAGAGCGGUCUUGCUUUCAUCCCCCAGGCUUGAGUGCAAUGGCUCAAUCUCGGCUCACUGCAACAUCCGCCUCCCGGGUUCAAACGAUUCUCCUGCCUCUGCCUCCCAAGUAGCUGGGAGCAAAGUGCCGGCCAUCACGCCCGGCUAAUUUUUAUAUUUUUUAGUAGAGACAGGGUUCCACCAUGUUGGCCAGGCUGGUCUCGAACUCCUGACCUUAGGUGAUCUGCCCGCCUCAGCCUCCCAAAGUGCUGGGAUUACAGGCAUGAGACACCACGCUCGGCCUGGCAAUGGUUUCUUAAACAUGAUAUCAAAACCACAUGCAACAAAAAGUAAGUAUGGAUACACUGGACUUCAGCAAAAUUAAAAACUUUCAUGCAUCAGAGAACAUCUUCAAGAAAGUGAAAAGACACUUUUCAUUUCAUUUGUCAAUUUGCAAAUCACAUAUCCAAUAA